rnacentral:lncRNA from 1 species
GUUGGCCCAGGAAGUACAGGUGCAAGCAAUUCACCUGUGCUUCCCACGUAACUCCCUGGGCUCAUUUAAGGGCUAGCCUCUGAAAGGAGAGUGUUUCCUGAAUGAAGGCUGCUGCUUGAGAAGGUGUGUUCUGUAACCUGAGACCCUAUCGCCAGUUGGAUACUCUAAUAUCCCCAAAAGCCAUGCUGACUUCUACAGCGUUCUAUGUGACUCCACCAUCAGUUGUGUUGGGCUGAAUGUUGCUGUGCAGCAGGACGUAGCUACUAUGUUGUCACUGCUCGCAGGUUUAAUGUCCUCUACAAUAAGGAAAGGUGAAAACACCAUCUGGUAAAUGAAUGUGAAUCUUCUUUUGCUGCUGUAUAAACAAUAUUGCUGCACAAAUUAUGGAGAAGAGGCAAAUAUAACCUUAGCUGGUGAAAACAUGAAUUAUUGCAAUAGUCUGCUGCGAUGAGGAACCCUCAUCUCUAUGCCAUGAAAUUAGUGAACGAUAUUCAUAAAACUGUCUGGACAACAGGAGUUCUGCAAAAAAAAAAAAAAAAAACAACCUCCUAAAACAUUCAUAACUUACCUCAGCAGCUUUCAUCUGAUACAGACCAUAUGUAUGUCUUUAUUUUGCUAUACACUUCACCUGACUUCUCUUGGCUUCAGUAAGUGAUUAACCAGUCAGGCCUCCGUCAUGUUGAAAACACAACUGCCCUUCAGAAACAGAUUCUCAGCAAGUUCUCUAAUGAGGCAGAUGCCUGCUGGUUUUCCAAGGACUGUUACUGAGUCUGAGCACACUGAAAUACAGUAGUUGGUCUAAGGCAUGACUGAUGAUUUUUCCAGUUUUGUAAAUGGAAGAACAUAGUUUACCUUACUGAGAUUCCUGAGAACAGUUCCUUCUCUCCACCUGUAGCAUGACCAGCUGCAGAAAACCAUCAACACGUCAUUUUAUAGGAAUAGCC